CCUGAUUUUUCCUCGUUUCUUUCUUUUUUUUUUUCUUUUUGUUUAUGCCGCCUGGCUGACAAAAUUGCAGCCUGAAAGUUUGUCUAACCAAAACGCACAACGAGCCACAGCAGUCCCUUCCGAGCCGCACCCUCGCCCGCAACCAUCUUUUGCUAGCUUCAACUGUUUGCAUACGUGCCCAAUGUGCAAUUGCCUGGGCGCUUCCCAAUCAUUGGCCGUCUUUGCCGCAUUCUAGUUUGGCAUUUGGGUUUGUUGAGUGUGCAACAUCAGCUGCCACUGCCGCUGCUGCUGCUGCUGCUGUUGCAACAGCAAACAGCUUGAGUUGGCAGCACAACAAUUUCUUACCUUGCAGCCGCACGGAAAUUGAAGUGUGAAAUCUGCGGCAACUCUCUCUGACUGCAGGAUUAGUCGAAGCCUGCACUCGUAUGCCCCCGUGCCAAGCUCCACGCAGCAAUUGUUGUUGCGGCCCGCGUGAUUUUUGAGUGUUUGAUCGCCAGACAGGCGUCAGAUUAUGCCAGCCCAAAAACCCUAAAGUGCAAAAAAAAAACGUGAAACCUAAAAAAAAGGAAAAUGGAAACAUUUGCGCACCAAGUGGGAAUCAGGCGCAGACGAAGGAGCCUUCAAAUGUCUCGUAUGCAGCCGGCGGCAAAUCCUGUGGGUCUACCAGUUGUUUACUUUGCAACGCGGCAUUGCGGUGGGUUAGGCAAAUGCAACUGGAGCGAUCCACAGAAUAUAAAACAGACGACUAUCAAAUCCCCUACACACUACGUUCUCUCGUAAGCUCGAAAAAUAUAUCAAUAAAACUUACAAAUGAAGCCUCUGAGAACAUAUUAGACAAACGGCUCUUA